UAUGUAGGGGGCAAGCGUUGUCCGGAAUUAUUGGGCGUAAAGCGCGCGCAGGCGGUCAUUUAAGUCUGGUGUUUAAUCCCGGGGCUCAACCCCGGUUCGCAUUGGAAACUGGAUGACUUGAGUGUAAGAGAGGAAAGUGGAAUUCCACGUGUAGCGGUGAAAUGCGUAGAUAUCAGGAGGAACACCGGUGGCGAAGGCGGGUCUCUGGGCCGUAACUGACGCUGAGGAGCGAAAGCGUGGGGAGCGAACAGG
rnacentral:rRNA from 1 species